rnacentral:rRNA from 1 species
UACGAAGGGGGCUAGCGUUGUUCGGAAUUACUGGGCGUAAAGGGCGCGCAGGCGGCCCCUCCAAGUCAGGCGUGAAAGCCCCGGGCUCAACCCGGGAAUAGCGCUUGAGACUGGGGGGCUUGAGUUCGGGAGAGGAGAGUGGAAUUCCCAGUGUAGAGGUGAAAUUCGUAGAUAUUGGGAAGAACACCAACGGCGAAAGGCACUCUGCUGGGCCGACACUGACACU